GAUGAACGCUGGCGGCGUGCCUAAUACAUGCAAGUCGAGCGAAGCGGGGACGGGUGAGUAACACGUGGAUAACCUCCUAUAAGACUGGGAUAACUUAGGGCAACCGGAGCUAAACCGGAUACUUAUAGAAGGAUCAGCGCUGCAUUAGCUAGUUGGUAAGGUAACGGCUUACCAAGGCAACGAUGCAUAGCCGACCUGUGAGGAAGACGUGCCACAAUGGAACGGAGACACGGUCCAGAGUCCUACGGGAGGCAACAAGAGGGGAUCUGCCGCAAGAGGCGAAAGCCUGACGUAGCAACGCCGCGUAGCUGAUGAGGGACUGCGGAUCAUAAAACACUGUUAUUAGGGAUGCGGUACCUAAUCAAAAAGCCCCGGCUAACUACGUGCCAGGAGCCGCGGUAAUAC
rnacentral:rRNA from 1 species